UAGCAUUAGAGCAGUGUAUUUGAAUGUUUCGCCAUUCGACUUGAUGGGUGUUUCAAGAUUUCAGUGCGGAACGCGAUGCAGGAAAAGGCCAGCCGUACGGUUGUCGAAAUCACACCCCUGCACAGAACAUACUUUCUUUGGAGGCCGACGAAAGCUUUAGAUUUAGAGUGCUGGUCCUAUCGUUGGUCGCCAAGCCCGUCGGCAAGCGCAGUCGCACGAAAACAACUAAACAAUUAUUUGCUGGUCGUGGCUCACUACUUUUGACUGCACAGGUUAACAAGCGAUGGAGAUACCCGCGUCACCAAAUUGAGACGAAAGUGGACAAGCAAAGCAGCACAACGUGUGAAGGGGCGUAUUUCAACAGGUGACAAUUUGUUCCGAACCGCUUUUUGCCCGAAGCUUCGGACCUAUUUGGAUCGACCUUGACCGGACGACCGUCAUACCUACUGUUUUUCGUCUUUUCAGGCUAUCCAGAAAUCUAUCCAUGCUGCUACCUCUGCAUACCAGACCAUCACAGAAGUGAGACAGUUCUUCCGCGGAGGUAUUGUGUGCAGACCACCAGACCAGUCCUGUGUCGUGGCUUUGCUCAAGUGUUCAUCAUUCGCGUCACUGCCGCCGGGAGUGGCCUCUGGCGGCAAGAAUGACUACCAUGUGGCACACAAAUGAAGGACAAAGAACCAAAAGACAAAAAAAAAACCGAAUAGGACGUCGGCAACAGCAUCAUUCACCACCGCGGAUAUAAACUUACCACCAGCAUCAUUUCCGUUCAAUGGGCAGGGAGGAACAGCAAGAGUGAUGCAGCCGGUUUUGAAUUCUUUCUGCUUCGUUGUGCAGCGGACAUCGUCAUCCUUACGCAAGCAUGGCUCUCGAAUCGGAUCGCUGAUCACAAAAUUUUUGAGUACGAAAGUAGCUAUACAUUCUUUCGUCGAGACUGAGGACAAGUGGCGGACUGCUUAUAGUGGUCACUUUGGAGAAGUGUAAGCUAUUAUGGGAAAGUGCCAAGCAUGACAAAUCGCUCGGGAAGGUUUCACUUCAGCAUGUCGGCGGACAUCGAAAAGAAGUCGCUAGAGUGAAGGACGAAGCGACAAAAGCAAAUAAUGCCUGCUACGUGAAAAACAUUCCUGUGACUAGGACGCGUAAGAAGGAGCGGAAGAAGCAGGGUGACAACGCGCACCGUACGUCUCGAUUUGGAGGACGCCGACACAGCGCACCUUGGCGGACGCAAAGAGGCAAAAUCGCUACUCCUCGAGCCGUGCAAGAAAACUGUCUAGGAACAGAAGCAGACGACAAGAUUAUAGGAUCAGCACUCCAAUCUAAGAAACGCACCGUGCAAAGAAAAAUUUGAAGCACACUCGGUUGCUCAUGAAUCACUAUUAGGAGGAAUGCGGUAUGGCGAAAGAGCGCACUUCGUUCUUUUAUGGUGCGGCUCGUUUUGUUCUUUUACGAAGACGUGUACCAUGCCUAGUGGUCACCGCUGUUUGAGUUGUGGGCAGCCGCGCGCUUCUUAUUUGCCAAGAGCGCUUCGAGCGGCGCGUCGCACUUGACACGGAGGCUUUUCUAGCGAUCUACGUGCCUCUUCUGCUGGAGCAGCGAGCCGUGGGGAAGCUUACCGAAAAGAGGUCGGCGCGUUUUACGAUCUCCUUGAACUCUAAAUGAGAACGACGGUGUUGAAGGUAACGCAUUUUCGCACGUAUAGGGCCUGAACGUGGACCAAGCAUCGCGUUUCUGUGUGUACUCCGCUGACCUGGUCUGAAAUUUUGAUGCAAAAGCGUAAAUGGCCCAUUGAGCAGAAAAGCCUGAACCUAUCGUCUGUAGCAGCGAAACGGGACCUAAACUCGAUUUGCCUUUGGCUGCAACGCCAUGCCAUGUGCUGCGCUUCGACGGAGCAGAGGGGAUGAAAGGGAACUGCGGCCGAGGGCAUUGCCGCGGCGCCACGUCACCCUCGCUCUCGCUCUUGGCAGGAGCGCACCUCGACGGAAUGGAGGCCACGCCUCCUAUAUAGCAGGCUUUUUCACUCUGCUACAUGACGUCGUGCAACUACUGAAAUUUCUACUGCCA